UACAGAGGUCCCGAGCGUUGUUCGGAUUCACUGGGCGUAAAGGGUGCGUAGGUGGUUGGGUAAGUUUGAUGUGAAAGCUCAGGGCUUAACCCUGAAAUGGCAUUGAAUACUACUCAACUGGAGGUUUGGAGGGGGGACUGGAAUUCUUGGUGUAGCAGUGAAAUGCGUAGAUAUCAAGAGGAACACCAGUGGCGAAGGCGAGUCCCUGGACAACACCUGACACUGGAGGCACGAAAGCUAGGGGAGCAAACAGG
rnacentral:rRNA from 1 species